rnacentral:rRNA from 1 species
AUUGAACGCUGGCGGCAGGCCUAACACAUGCAAGUCGAGCGAGCGACGGGCGGGUAAGUAAUGUAUAGGGGUCUGGCCGAGAGGGAGGGAGAACGGCUGGGGACGGUAGCUAAUAACGCGUACUAUCGAGUGAAGCCCUAUGGGAUUAGCUAGUAGGUGGGGUAAUGGCCCACCUAGGCGACGAUCCCUAGCUGGUCUGAGAGGAUGAUCAGCCACACUGGGACUGAGACACGGCCCAGACUCCUACGGGAGGCAGCAGUGGGGAAUAUUGCACAAUGGGCGCAAGCCUGAUGCAGCCAUGCCGCGUGUAUGAAGAAGGCCCUCGGGUUGUAAAGUACUUUCAUUCGGGAGGCGUUACCCAAAGAAGAAGCACCGGCUAACUCCGUGCCAGCAGCCGCGGUAAUAC